GCCGGGGUGUUGGAACCGGUAGACAAUGGGGACUUAAAAUCCCUUGGGUCGUAAGGCCCGUGCGGGUUCAAAUCCCGCCCCCGGCACCA
rnacentral:tRNA from 1 species